rnacentral:rRNA from 1 species
AAGAAGGCAUCUUCUUAUUUUUAAAAGACCUAGCAAUAGGUAUGCUUAGGGAAGAGCUUGCGUCACAUUAGUUAGUUGGUGGGGUAACGGCCUACCAAGACGGUGAUGUGUAGCCGGGCUGAGAGGUCGAACGGCCACAUUGGGACUGAGACACGGCCCAAACUCCUACGGGAGGCAGCAGUAAGGAAUUUUCGGCAAUGGAGGAAACUCUGACCGAGCAAUGCCGCGUGAACGAUGAAGUAUUUCGGUACGUAAAGUUCUUUUAUUAGGGAAGAAAAGAUGGUGGAAAAACCAUUAUGACGGUACCUAAUGAAUAAGCCCCGGCUAACUAUGUGCCAGCAGCCGCGGUAAUACAUAGGGGGCAAGCGUUAUCCGGAAUUAUUGGGCGUAAAGGGUGCGUAGGCGGUUAAAUAAGUUUAUGGUCUAAGUGCAACGCUCAACGUUGUGAUGCUAUAAAAACUGUUUAGCUAGAGUUGGAUAGAGGCAAGUGGAAUUCCGUGUGUAGUGGUAAAAUGCGUAAAUAUACGGAGGAACACCAGAAGCGAAGGCGGCUUGCUGGGUCUUAACUGACGCUGAGGCACGAAAGCGUGGGGAGCAAACAGGAUUAGAUACCCUGGUAGUCCACGCCCUAAACGAUGAGUACUAAACGUUGGAUAAAACCAGUGUUGAAGUUAACACAUUAAAUACUCCGCCUGAGUAGUACGUACGCAAGUAUGAAACUUAAAGGAAUUGACGGGACUCCGCACAAGCGGUGGAUCAUGUUGUUUAAUUCGAAGGUACCCGAAAAACCUCACCAGGUCUUGACAUGCUUUUGCAAAGCUGUAGAAAUACAGUGGAGGUUAUCAGACGCACAGGUGGUGCAUGGUUGUCGUCAGCUCGUGUCGUGAGAUGUUGGGUUAAGUCCCGCAACGAGCGCAACCCUUGUUGUUAAUUGCCAUCAUUAAGUUGGGGACUUUAGCAAGACUGCCAAUGAUAAAUUGGAGGAGGUGGGGACGACGUCAAAUCAUCAUGCCCCUUAUGACCCGGGCUACAAACGUGAUACAAUGGCUGUUACAAAGGGUAGCUAAAGCGUAAGCUUCUGGCGAAUCUCAAAAAAGCAGUCUCAGUUCGGAUUGAAGUCUGCAACUCGACUUCAUGAAGUUGGAAUCGCUAGUAAUCGCGAAUCAGCAUGUCGCGGUGAAUACGUUCUCGGGGUUUGUACGCACCGCCCGUCAAACCACGAAAGUUGGCAAUACCCAAAGCUGGUGGCCUAACUUGAGCAAUCAAGAAGGAGCCGUCUAAGGUAGGGUUGAUGAUUGGGGUUAAGUCGUAACAAGGUAUCCCUACCGGAAGGUGGGGAUGGAUCACCUCCUUU